UUAGAUUUUAUUUAUUAAUUUUUUAUAUUUUUAAAUAGAUUAUUAAAAAUAAUUAUAUAAUAAAAAGUUUUAGUAUUGUUUAAAGAAAAAAUAAAUUUAAUUAUAGUUUAUUAGUAUUGUAAAAGAAAAUUGAAAUAAAUUGAAAAAAUUUUAUAAAAAAAGAAAAUUUAAUUUAUUGUACCUU
rnacentral:rRNA from 1 species